rnacentral:misc_RNA from 1 species
GGAGGGCUUUCUGUUAAACCAAAGAUGGGUGAUGCACUGCUUUUCUGGAGCAUGAAACCUGAUGCUUCUUUGGAUCCUUCAAGUUUGCAUGGUGGUUGCCCGGUGAUUAAAGGGAAUAAGUGGUCAGCCACCAAGUGGAUGCAUGUGAAUGAGUACAAAGUCUGAACUAUAGUUUGAAAGUUAAUUGUAUGACACAACAUCUGAAUUGUAAUUCGGCCCUCCUGAGAGAGAGCUCCAGCGCUAACAGGCAUCAAGUAAAUGUGUAAAUCUUCUUGUAUACAGCUGAGCGCUUUGUUGGUUACAAAAUCAAGAGAUGGGUUUUUCUAUAUCAGCAACUCAAAU